rnacentral:pre_miRNA from 1 species
UUAACUCUUAUUUGUAUGGAAUGGGAUCGUUUGCAUACGUUUGCCGCUAGGGGCGCUAUUCCAAUUGCAUGCAAAUUUAAGGUA